rnacentral:rRNA from 1 species
UACGUAGGUGGCAAGCGUUGUCCGGAUUUACUGGGCGUAAAGAGCGCGCAGGCGGUCGAAUAAGUCGAAUGUGAAAGCCCCCGGCUCAACUGGGGAGGGUCAUUCGAUACUGCUCGACUUGAAGGCAGGAGAGGGUAGUGGAAUUCCCGGUGUAGUGGUGAAAUGCGUAGAUAUCGGGAGGAACACCGGUGGCGAAGGCGGGUCUCUGGGCCGUAACUGACGCUGAGGAGCGAAAGCGUGGGGAGCGAACAGG